UGCCAGCCGCCGCGGUAAUACGGAGGGUGCAAGCGUUAAUCGGAAUCACUGGGCGUAAAGCGCACGCAGGCGGUUUGUUAAGUCAGAUGUGAAAGCCCCGGGCUCAACCUGGGAACUGCAUUUGAUACUGGCAAACUAGAGUAUGGUAGAGAGAAGUAGAAUUCCACAUGUAGCGGUGAAAUGCGUAGAGAUGUGGAGGAAUAUCAGUGGCGAAGGCGACUUCUUGGACCAAUACCGACGCUCAGGUGCGAAAGCGUGGGGAGCAAACAGGAUUAGAUA
rnacentral:rRNA from 1 species